CAGCAGCCGCGGGAAUACGUAGGUGGCGAGCGUUGUCCGGAAUUAUUGGGCGUAAAGGGCUCGCAGGCGGUUUCUUAAGUCUGAUGUGAAAGCCCCCGGCUCAACCGGGGAGGGUCAUUGGAAACUGGGAAACUUGAGUGCAGAAGAGGAGAGUGGAAUUCCACGUGUAGCGGUGAAAUGCGUAGAGAUGUAGAGGAACACCAGUGGCGAAGGCGACUCUCUGGUCUGUAACUGACGCUGAGGAGCGAAAGCGUGGGGAGCGAACAGGAUUAGAGACCCCGGUAGUCCCUGUCUCUUAUAC
rnacentral:rRNA from 1 species